GCCUGGAUGGCUCAGUCGGUUAAGUGUCUGACUUCAGCUCAGGUCAUGAUCUCACGGUUUGUGAGUUCAAGCCCCACGUCAGGCU
rnacentral:tRNA from 1 species